rnacentral:rRNA from 1 species
AAACCGACACAGGUGGUCAGGUAGAGAAUACCAAGGCGCUUGAGAGAACUCGGGUGAAGGAACUAGGCAAAAUGGUGCCGUAACUUCGGGAGAAGGCACGCUGGUGUGUAGGUGAAGUCCCUGCGGAUGGAGCUGAGACCAGUCGAAGAUACCAGCUGGCUGCAACUGUUUAUUAAAAACACAGCACUGUGCAAACACGAAAGUGGACGUAUACGGUGUGACGCCUGCCCGGUGCCGGAAGGUUAAUUGAUGGGGUUAUCCGUAAGGAGAAGCUCUUGAUCGAAGCCCCGGUAAACGGCGGCCGUAACUAUAACGGUCCUAAGGUAGCGAAAUUCCUUGUCGGGUAAGUUCCGACCUGCACGAAUGGCGUAAUGAUGGCCAGGCUGUCUCCACCCGAGACUCAGUGAAAUUGAACUCGCUGUGAAGAUGCAGUGUACCCGCGGCAAGACGGAAAGACCCCGUGAACCUUUACUAUAGCUUGACACUGAACAUUGAGCCUUGAUGUGUAGGAUAGGUGGGAGGCUUUGAAGCGUGGACGCCAGUCUGCGUGGAGCCAACCUUGAAAUACCACCCUUUAAUGUUUGAUGUUCUAACGUUGGCCCCUUACCGGGGUUGCGGACAGUGUCUGGUGGGUAGUUUGACUGGGGCGGUCUCCUCCCAAAGCGUAACGGAGGAGCACGAAGGUUAGCUAAUCCUGGUCGGACAUCAGGAGGUUAGUGCAAUGGCAUAAGCUAGCUUGACUGCGAGCGUGACGGCGCGAGCAGGUGCGAAAGCAGGUCAUAGUGAUCCGGUGGUUCUGAAUGGAAGGGCCAUCGCUCAACGGAUAAAAGGUACUCCGGGGAUAACAGGCUGAUACCGCCCAAGAGUUCAUAUCGACGGCGGUGUUUGGCACCUCGAUGUCGGCUCAUCACAUCCUGGGGCUGAAGUAGGUCCCAAGGGUAUGGCUGUUCGCCAUUUAAAGUGGUACGCGAGCUGGGUUUAGAACGUCGUGAGACAGUUCGGUCCCUAUCUGCCGUGGGCGCUGGAGAAUUGAGGGGGGCUGCUCCUAGUACGAGAGGACCGGAGUGGACGCAUCACUGGUGUUCGGGUUGUCAUGCCAAUGGCACUGCCCGGUAGCUAAAUGCGGAAGAGAUAAGUGCUGAAAGCAUCUAAGCACGAAACUUGCCCCGAGAUGAGUUCUCCCUGAGACUUUAAGUCUCCUGAAGGAACGUUAAAGACGAUGACGUUGAUAGGCCGGGUGUGUAAGCGCAGCGAUGCGUUGAGCUAACCGGUACUAAUGAACCGUGAGGCUUAACCUU